rnacentral:rRNA from 1 species
GACGAACGCUGGCGGCGUGCUUAACACAUGCAAGUCGAACGGAAAGGCCCCUUUGGGGGUACUCGAGUGGCGAACGGGUGAGUAACACGUGAGUAACCUGCCCUUGACUUCGGGAUAACUUCAGGAAACUGGGGCUAAUACCGGAUAGGAAUCCUUGCUGCAUGGUGGGGGUUGGAAAGCUUCGGCGGUUUUGGAUGGACUCGCGGCUUAUCAGCUUGUUGGUGGGGUAGUGGCUUACCAAGGCUUUGACGGGUAGCCGGCCUGAGAGGGCGACCGGCCACAUUGGGACUGAGAUACGGUCCAGACUCCUACGGGAGGCAGCAGUGGGGAAUAUUGCACAAUGGGCGGAAGCCUGAUGCAGCAACGCCGCGUGCGGGAUGACGGCCUUCGGGUUGUAAACCGCUUUCAGCAGGGGCGAAGCUUGUGGUGACGGUACCUGCAGAAGAAGCACCGGCUAACUACGUG